AUGGAAAACAUAGGAUUUUUUAAUAAUAAAAACAAUAGCAUUCAUGUGCCUAGGUCACAUAUAAAUAUGUGUGUGUGGAACCCGAGCACAUCCAAAUCAAUACAAAUACCGGCUAUCCUAGAAUUUUCUAAUCAUACUUACAAAAUUUAUUCCCUUUUUUCUUUAAAAGAAGAAUCGUAUAAAUUUCAUUGGAGUAGUUUUUGUUGUCGAGGAACUAUUGAAGUAAGUACUUAUUAUGUAUUCAUCUUGUCAUAUCAGAACUAG